rnacentral:rRNA from 1 species
CCUGGCUCAGUACGAACGCUGGCGGCGCGCCUAACACAUGCAAGUCGAACGAGCGAGAGAGAGCUUGCUUUCUCGAGCGAGUGGCGAACGGGUGAGUAACGCGUGAGGAACCUGCCUCAAAGAGGGGGACAACAGUUGGAAACGACUGCUAAUACCGCAUAAGCCCACGGCUCGGCAUCGAGCAGAGGGAAAAGGAGCAAUCCGCUUUGAGAUGGCCUCGCGUCCGAUUAGCUAGUUGGUGAGGUAAUGGCCCACCAAGGCGACGAUCGGUAGCCGGACUGAGAGGUUGAACGGCCACAUUAGGACUGAGACACGGCCCAGACUCCUACGGGAGGCAGCAGUGGGGGAUAUUGCACAAUGGGGGAAACCCUGAUGCAGCGACGCCGCGUGGAGGAAGAAGGUCUUCGGAUUGUAAACUCCUGUUGUUGAGGAAGAUAAUGACGGUACUCAACAAGGAAGUGACGGCUAACUACGUGCCAGCAGCCGCGGUAAAACGUAGGUCACAAGCGUUGUCCGGAAUUACUGGGUGUAAAGGGAGCGCAGGCGGGAAGACAAGUUGGAAGUGAAAUCCAUGGGCUCAACCCAUGAACUGCUUUCAAAACUGUUUUUCUUGAGUAGUGCAGAGGUAGGCGGAAUUCCCGGUGUAGCGGUGGAAUGCGUAGAUAUCGGGAGGAACACCAGUGGCGAAGGCGGCCUACUGGGCACCAACUGACGCUGAGGCUCGAAAGUGUGGGUAGCAAACAGGAUUAGAUACCCUGGUAGUCCACACUGUAAACGAUGAUUACUAGGUGUUGGAGGAUUGACCCCUUCAGUGCCGCAGUUAACACAAUAAGUAAUCCACCUGGGGAGUACGACCGCAAGGUUGAAACUCAAAGGAAUUGACGGGGGCCCGCACAAGCAGUGGAGUAUGUGGUUUAAUUCGACGCAACGCGAAGAACCUUACCAAGUCUUGACAUCCUGCGACGCACAUAGAAAUAUGUGUUUCCUUCGGGACGCAGAGACAGGUGGUGCAUGGUUGUCGUCAGCUCGUGUCGUGAGAUGUUGGGUUAAGUCCCGCAACGAGCGCAACCCUUAUGGUCAGUUACUACGCAAGAGGACUCUGGCCAGACUGCCGUUGACAAAACGGAGGAAGGUGGGGAUGACGUCAAAUCAUCAUGCCCUUUAUGACUUGGGCUACACACGUACUACAAUGGCGUUAAACAAAGAGAAGCAAGACCGCGAGGUGGAGCAAAACUCAGAAACAACGUCCCAGUUCGGACUGCAGGCUGCAACUCGCCUGCACGAAGUCGGAAUUGCUAGUAAUCGCAGAUCAGCAUGCUGCGGUGAAUACGUUCCCGGGCCUUGUACACACCG